rnacentral:rRNA from 1 species
GAUCAUGCUCAGGAUGAACGCUAGCUACAGGCUUAACACAUGCAAGUCGAGGGGCAGCAUGUUGGUUGCUUGCAACCGAUGAUGGCGACCGGCGCACGGGUGAGUAACGCGUAUCCAACCUACCCUUGUCCAUCGGAUAACCCGUCGAAAGGCGGCCUAACACGAUAUGCGGUUCACAGCAGGCAUCUAACGUGAACGAAAUGUGAAGGAGAAGGAUGGGGAUGCGU